rnacentral:rRNA from 1 species
AUUGAACGCUGGCGGCAGGCCUAACACAUGCAAGUCGAGCGGUAGCACAGAGAGCUUGCUCUCGGGUGACGAGCGGCGGACGGGUGAGUAAUGUCUGGGAAACUGCCUGAUGGAGGGGGAUAACUACUGGAAACGGUAGCUAAUACCGCAUAACGUCGCAAGACCAAAGUGGGGGACCUUCGGGCCUCAUGCCAUCAGAUGUGCCCAGAUGGGAUUAGCUAGUAGGUGGGGUAACGGCUCACCUAGGCGACGAUCCCUAGCUGGUCUGAGAGGAUGACCAGCCACACUGGAACUGAGACACGGUCCAGACUCCUACGGGAGGCAGCAGUGGGGAAUAUUGCACAAUGGGCGCAAGCCUGAUGCAGCCAUGCCGCGUGUGUGAAGAAGGCCUUCGGGUUGUAAAGCACUUUCAGCGGGGAGGAAGGCGUUAAGGUUAAUAACCUUGGCGAUUGACGUUACCCGCAGAAGAAGCACCGGCUAACUCCGUGCCAGCAGCCGCGGUAAUACGGAGGGUGCAAGCGUUAAUCGGAAUUACUGGGCGUAAAGCGCACGCAGGCGGUCUGUCAAGUCGGAUGUGAAAUCCCCGGGCUCAACCUGGGAACUGCAUUCGAAACUGGCAGGCUAGAGUCUUGUAGAGGGGGGUAGAAUUCCAGGUGUAGCGGUGAAAUGCGUAGAGAUCUGGAGGAAUACCGGUGGCGAAGGCGGCCCCCUGGACAAAGACUGACGCUCAGGUGCGAAAGCGUGGGGAGCAAACAGGAUUAGAUACCCUGGUAGUCCACGCCGUAAACGAUGUCGAUUUGGAGGUUGUGCCCUUGAGGCGUGGCUUCCGGAGCUAACGCGUUAAAUCGACCGCCUGGGGAGUACGGCCGCAAGGUUAAAACUCAAAUGAAUUGACGGGGGCCCGCACAAGCGGUGGAGCAUGUGGUUUAAUUCGAUGCAACGCGAAGAACCUUACCUGGUCUUGACAUCCACAGAACUUUCCAGAGAUGGAUUGGUGCCUUCGGGAACUGUGAGACAGGUGCUGCAUGGCUGUCGUCAGCUCGUGUUGUGAAAUGUUGGGUUAAGUCCCGCAACGAGCGCAACCCUUAUCCUUUGUUGCCAGCGGUUAGGCCGGGAACUCAAAGGAGACUGCCAGUGAUAAACUGGAGGAAGGUGGGGAUGACGUCAAGUCAUCAUGGCCCUUACGACCAGGGCUACACACGUGCUACAAUGGCAUAUACAAAGAGAAGCGACCUCGCGAGAGCAAGCGGACCUCAUAAAGUAUGUCGUAGUCCGGAUUGGAGUCUGCAACUCGACUCCAUGAAGUCGGAAUCGCUAGUAAUCGUAGAUCAGAAUGCUACGGUGAAUACGUUCCCGGGCCU